rnacentral:lncRNA from 1 species
CUUGAUCAACUGAUAAACACUCAGUGACUACACUUAGCAUAUUGUGUUGGUGGGCUUUUUCUUCCUUUUCUUUUUUUUUUUAAGUUUGAGACAAAAUAUCUGGCUUGCCUUUCAAUAAUGGAAAUAGAUCCAUGUGUGUGAAAAGGAAGUAAAUACAUAGAUUUUUCAUAUAGCUCUUUCAAGAGUAAACCACCUUUAAGGUAAAUAUAAUCCCUUGUCUGGGAAAGUAAAACUAAUUUGUACACAUUUAUAAUUUUUUUUUGUCAGUGAGCCAUUGCAGAGAAUGGAAAAUCCCUUCUAGUGGCUUAUGAAACUUGUCACAGGUCCCCAAACACAAGCCAGAUGAGAUGGAUGAACCAAAGCUGAAGUGAAGCAAUUGGAUGGCCAUCCUAGCAGAGAAUGUUCCUUGUUUCCCAUCACUUUGCUGGAGCACAGUUUACAGUCCAAAGACUAAGAAAACUGGCUGGUACACGGGGUCUUGUGGAAGGAGUUCCAGAUUUGCAGCUGAGAAUCGCAUUUCAUCUGAAUUCAGAGUUAGUUGACUAAUUUCACCUAGAACGAGUCACUUGGCCUCCCUGGAAUUCUGCUGUAACACAUCAUUUGCAACAUUUUAUGAAGUGAAAUCAGGAUGCAAUUCAGUUUUAUUUUUUUUUGAGAAG